UUUUGUUUUUUCCAUUUUCUCUUUCUUGAACUUUUUUUUUUCCUUUUUCCAGAAGGCUCUUUCCUGAACUUCACAUGGAGGUAAUUUCGGUGGGAAUUGUGUAGCAAGACUUGAUCGGUUUUCAUUGCCUAAUCUCUGCCGUAAAUCAUGAUACUAAAUCAGAAUCCGUUUCUGGGGUGGGGGCCAAACGAAAUGUGCGAAACGUUUCAACGGCUUUUUUUUAGGCGAUGUUUGGGGCUGUUUCCUUUUGUCGUCUCUCUGCAUGAUCGAAUGUGGACUCGCUCAGAGAGGUCUAGAGCUACAAAGAUUUCCAAAACCAAACGAUUCGUUUGGGCCCAUGUUUGGUUGAUUGGACGGUUUCUGGAACCGGGUACUCAUUUGGGCUCAUGUUUGAUUGAUUGGACGGAUUCUGGAACUGGGGUAAAUAAUCGAGGCUGAGUGGUUGGAUUUCCUCACGUAAUGAUUUUCUCAAAUGAUAAUAUAUGUGUUUCUAGUAAUUGC